GUAGUGAUUAGGUUGUUAUCAGUGUACUGAUAUACGUAGGACACGUGACAUCCCAACACUAUCUGGGAGUUGUUCUGUAGUGAUUAGGUUGUGGCAUCCCAACACUAUCUGGGAGUUGUUCCGUAGUGAUUAGGUUGUUAUCAGUGUACUGGUAUACGUAGGACACGUGACAUCCCAACACUAUCUGGGAGUUGUUCCGUAGUGAUUAGGUUGUGGCAUCCCAACACUAUCUGGGAGUUGUUCCGUAGUGAUUAGGUUGUUAUCAGUGUACUGAUAUACGUAGGACACGUGACAUCCCAACACUAUCUGGGAGUUGUUCCGUAGUGAUUAGGUUGUUAUCAGUGUACUGAUAUACGUAGGACACGUGACAUCCCAACACUAUCUGGGAGUUGUUCUGUAGUGAUUAGGUUGUUAUCAGUGUACUGGUAUACGUAGGACACGUGACAUCCCAACACUAUCUGGGAGUUGUUCCGUAGUGAUUAGGUUGUUAUCAGUGUACUGGUAUACGUAGGACACGUGACAUCCCAACACUAUCUGGGAGUUGUUCCGUAGUGAUUAGGUUGUGGCAUCCCAACACUAUCUGGGAGUUGUUCCGUAGUGAUUAGGUUGUUAUCAGUGUACUGGUAUACGUAGGACACGUGACAUCCCAACACUAUCUGGGAGUUGUUCCGUAGUGAUUAGGUUGUUAUCAGUGUACUGGUAUACGUAGG